rnacentral:rRNA from 1 species
ACUCGAGUGGCGAACGGGUGAGUAACACGUGGGUGAUCUGCCCUGCACUCUGGGGUAAGCCUGGGAAACUGGGUCUAAUACCGGAUAGGACCAUGCUUUAGUGUGUGUGGUGGAAAGUUUUUUGGUGUAGGAUGAGCCUGCGGCCUAUCAGCUUGUUGGUGGGGUAAUGGCCUACCAAGGCGGCGACGGGUAGCCGGCCUGAGAGGGUGGACGGCCACAUUGGGACUGAGAUACGGCCCAG